rnacentral:rRNA from 1 species
CCUACGGGUGGCAGCAGUGGGGAAUAUUGCACAAUGGGCGCAAGCCUGAUGCAGCCAUGCCGUGUGUAUGAAGAAGGCCCUAGGGUUGUAAAGUACUUUCAGUCGGGAAGGAAGGCGUUGAUGCUAAUAUCAUCAACGAUUGACGUUACCGACAGAAGAAGCACCGGCUAACUCCGUGCCAGCAGCCGCGGUAAUACGGAGGGUGCAAGCGUUAAUCGGAAUUACUGGGCGUAAAGCGCACGCAGGCGGUUGAUUAAGUUAGAUGUGAAAUCCCCGGGCUUAACCUGGGAAUGGCAUCUAAGACUGGUCAGCUAGAGUCUUGUAGAGGGGGGUAGAAUUCCAUGUGUAGCGGUGAAAUGCGUAGAGAUGUGGAGGAAUACCGGUGGCGAAGGCGGCCCCCUGGACAAAGACUGACGCUCAGGUGCGAAAGCGUGGGGAGCAAACAGGAUUAGAUACCCGCGUAGUC